rnacentral:rRNA from 1 species
UAAGCGUCGGUGAGGUGAUAUGAACCGUUAUAACCGGCGAUUUCCGAAUGGGGAAACCCAGUGUGUUUCGACACACUAUCAUUAACUGAAUCCAUAGGUUAAUGAGGCGAACCGGGGGAACUGAAACAUCUAAGUACCCCGAGGAAAAGAAAUCAACCGAGAUUCCCCCAGUAGCGGCGAGCGAACGGGGAGGAGCCCAGAGCCUGAAUCAGUGUGUGUGUUA